rnacentral:rRNA from 1 species
UACGAGGGGGGCGAGCGUUGUUCGGAAUUAUUGGGCGUAAAGGGUGCGUAGGCGGUUUGGUAAGUCUUAUGUGAAAUCUAUGGGCUCAACUCAUAGUCUGCAUGAGAAACUGCCGGGCUUGAGUAUGGGAGAGGUGAGUGGAAUUCCUGGUGUAGCGGUGAAAUGCGUAGAUAUCAGGAGGAACACCUGUGGCGAAAAGCGGCUCACUGGACCAUAACUGACGCUGAUGCACGAAAGCUAGGGGAGCAAACAGG